GACGAACGCUGGCGGCGUGCUUAACACAUGCAAGUCGAACGGAAAGGCCCCUUUGGGGGUACUCGAGUGGCGAACGGGGGGGUAACACGUGAGUAACCUGCCCUUGACUUCGGGAUAACUUCAGGAAACUGGGGCUAAUACCGGAUAGGAAUCCUUGCUGCAUGGUGGGGGUUGGAAAGCUUCGGCGGUUUUGGAUGGACUCGCGGCCUAUCAGCUUGUUGGUGGGGUAGUGGCUUACCAAGGCUUUGACGGGUAGCCGGCCUGAGAGGGCGACCGGCCACAUUGGGACUGAGAUACGGCCCCGACUCCUACGGGUGGCAGCAGUGGGGAAUAUUGCUCAAUGGGCGGAAGCCUGAUGCAGCAACGCCGCGUGCGGGAUGACGGCCUUCGGGUUGUAAACCGCUUUCAGCAGGGGCGAAGCUUGUGGUGACGGUACCUGCAGAAGAAGCACCGGCUAACUACGUG
rnacentral:rRNA from 1 species